rnacentral:rRNA from 1 species
GUCAGCUCGUGUCGUGAGAUGUGGUUAAGUCCGCACGAGCGCAACCCUACUUGUUAGUUGCCAUCAUUCAGUUGGGCACUCUAGCGAGACUGCCGGUAAUAAACCGGAGGAAGGUGGGGAUGACGUCAAAUCAUCAUGCCCCUUAUGACCUGGGCUACACACGUGCUACAAUGGUUGGUACAACGAGUUGCGAGUCGGUGACGGCGAGCUAAUCUCUUAAAGCCAAUCUCAGUUCGGAUUGUAGGCUGCAACUCGCCUACAUGAAGUCGGAAUCGCUAGUAAUCGCGGAUCAGCACGCCGCGGUGAAUACGUUCCCGGGCCUU